UACGUAGGGUGCAAGCGUUGUCCGGAAUUAUUGGGCGUAAAGAGCUCGUAGGCGGUCUGUCGCGUCGGAUGUGAAAAUCCAGGGCUUAACCCUGGGCCUGCAUUCGAUACGGGCAGACUAGAGUUCGGUAGGGGAGACUGGAAUUCCUGGUGUAGCGGUGAAAUGCGCAGAUAUCAGGAGGAACACCGGUGGCGAAGGCGGGUCUCUAGGCCGACACUGACGCUGAGGAGCGAAAGUGUGGGGAGCGAACAGG
rnacentral:rRNA from 1 species